AGCAUAUAGGAAAUAAUAAACAUCAAUCCAAACCUAUAUAAAUUUGAUUAGAAGUAGAACUCCCGCUAAGGCUCUACCAACUUUUUUUUUUUUUUUUCUUAUAAGGCUGUACCAACUUGACCUAUUCUAACCGUAUUGAUAUUGGACUACACCCACAGAGAGCAACCACCUAAAAUGCCAUAUUUGAAUCUUGAGAGCCUAGAGGAAAUAGCUCUCAUCCUCUAAAAAAAUGGUACCAAC
rnacentral:lncRNA from 1 species